GGCUUGGAGGCUGCAUCCCUGGCUUGUACAUACAUGAUUGCUGUGGACACACCCCGGACCCUGUGUCAUAACCACCACCCUGACGUAACGCCCCCGGUCCCCUGAUGUCUUACACCCGAGUGUUAGCUAUAGGCUCCUGUACUGUUCGUGUGCACUUAAGGCUCUGUCCAAUUAAGAAAUAAACGUGGCUCUUAUGCAGCACA